UCCCCCUGAUGCUUCUGUUGGUCCAGGGUGCUGCAGGCAAUACAGUUCUAUGCUGGCGAAAAGGAGGAUUCUGCAUGAAGCGUUUUUGCCGCCAUGGUACACGCACUGUGGGAAUAUGUGCACGAGGCUUUGCGUGCUGCAAAAGUCCCAGGGGAUGAAACCCUAAAAUUCCCAAGCAGGACAUGGCCCUCGCUUCUGGAUGCUGGACCCCAUCUGCUGAUGUCCCCAUCUGCUGAUGUGCCCUGCCCUCACUGCCUGUGCCGUGCCCAGCUGGGCUGACAGCAGCAGUGGCAGCUGCUCCUGCUGGCUGCUGCUGGGCUGGAGCCCUGUGGUGCCAGCCCCGCUGUCUUUGGGGCAGGGGCUGCUUUU